rnacentral:rRNA from 1 species
GAUGAACGCUGGCGGCGUGCCUAAUACAUGCAAGUCGAGCGAACAGACGAGGAGCUUGCUCCUCUGACGUUAGCGGCGGACGGGUGAGUAACACGUGGAUAACCUACCUAUAAGACUGGGAUAACUUCGGGAAACCGGAGCUAAUACCGGAUAAUAUAUUGAACCGCAUGGUUCAAUAGUGAAAGACGGUUUUGCUGUCACUUAUAGAUGGAUCCGCGCCGCAUUAGCUAGUUGGUAAGGUAACGGCUUACCAAGGCAACGAUGCGUAGCCGACCUGAGAGGGUGCUCGGCCACACUGGAACUGAGACACGGCCCAGACCCCUGCGGGGGGCAGCAGUAGGGAAUUUCCCGCAAGGGGGGAAAGCCUGAGGGGGAAACGCCGCGGGGGUGAUGAAGGUCUUCGAAUCGUAAAACUUUUUUAUUAGGAAAGAAAAAAUGUGAAAGUAACUAUGCCCGUCUUGACGGUACCUAAUCAGAAAGCCCCGGCUAACUGCGU